rnacentral:lncRNA from 1 species
UCUGAAAACAAAACAUUAAAAACAAAACCCAGCUAGCUGGAGAGAAGGCCCGGUCAUUAGGCACACAUACUGCUCUAUCCAGAGGACCUGAGUUUGUUUUCCAGCACCCACACUGCCUGUAACCCCAACUCCAGGGCAUUCGGUGCCUGUUCUAACAUCAGUAGGCACCUGCAUUCAUGUUCACAUACCACACACACAAAUCUAUAAUUGAAAAUACAGAACGAAACUGGGAACUGGACAUGAUGACACCUGCAUGCGCUGCCUCACAGUGAGACCCUGGCUCAAAACACACGUACACAUACGGUCUGAGGACAUAGCUCAGUGGUGGAGGACCCUUUAAUAUGUAAAAUGUGCCUAGGUUCAAUCUGCAGUACCAUAAAAACAAAUAAGAAAAACCCACUGUGCGGGCUCUGGCCCUUAAAAUAUUUUCAGUUCAAGCUUAGUUUUUUGUUGAUGUUUUGAUAUGGGUGUGUGAUCAAAAGAGUUGAGUUGAGUCUUUUCUUCCUUUAUGUAGGGGCUGGGGAUUGAACUCAGGUCUCCAGGCUGUUAUCUCACCGGUUCCCUUCCCUGUUCUCUCUCUCUCUCUCUCUCUCUCUCUCUCUUUUCUAAACUUGGUUGGGUUGUUUUGCUUUUCAUCAAACUCAUCAUGUCUGAGGUCAGAACUUGCAAGACAGUAGUAACACAGAUUUAAAAAGAUGGAAAUUCUCUCCCAGUGACUUUCUGUACAGGCAUUAGUCACCAGCUGUGUCAUCGGCAUGACAAGGCAAAAUUAUCCUAGUGGAUGCCUGUGGCUUAGACGCUGGGAGAAUCUUAGCAGCUCCUUGUACAGAAAUGUACAUGGGAGCUUCUGUUUGGCCCCUUCCCCAUCUGUCCAUUUCUGCAAAACCUGAAAGCCUUCCACACACCAAGUCCUACCCUGAACCCUAGAGGUAUGAGAACAGAAGAAACAGAGAUCCACCUUCAAAAGCUGCUGGACCUUGGGCAAGUUAUUUGACCUCCCUUGUUUCUUUGUGUGUAAAAUAAGAGUAGUCACAAU